rnacentral:rRNA from 1 species
CCUACGGGGUGCAGCAGUGAGGAAUAUUGGUCAAUGGACGAGAGUCUGAACCAGCCAAGUAGCGUGAAGGAUGACUGCCCUAUGGGUUGUAAACUUCUUUUAUAUGGGAAUAAAAUGUUCCACGUGUGGGAUUUUGUAUGUACCAUAUGAAUAAGGAUCGGCUAACUCCGUGCCAGCAGCCGCGGUAAUACGGAGGAUCCGAGCGUUAUCCGGAUUUAUUGGGUUUAAAGGGAGCGUAGGUGGAUUGUUAAGUCAGUUGUGAAAGUUUGCGGCUCAACCGUAAAAUUGCAGUUGAAACUGGCAGUCUUGAGGACAGUAGAGGUGGGCGGAAUUCGUGGUGUAGCGGUGAAAUGCUUAGAUAUCACGAAGAACUCCGAUUGCGAAGGCAGUUCACUGGACUGCAACUGACACUGAGGCUCGAAAGUGUGGGUAUCAAACAGGAUUAGAUACCCCAGUAGUC